CCACAUGGCUACAUCCAACAGAGCUUUCUUUAGCUUGCCCAUGGUGAUGUGAAGAUGAGAAGAAAUAGCAAGGCCCAACCAGUUCUUCAUCUGGAGACAGUUCAACGUUCUGCAAACCAGAUCUUCAGGAAUUUUACUGGGAUAAUUAUCCAAAUAAAUUGCAAGCAUUCUAUCCAAAUGGAGCUCUUUCUGAGAUGAAGAGAAUUCUCAAUGUCAAGAUUUGAACAAGAAGAGAAUGGAAUACACAAUAUGGACAUCCAUAAAAAUUCAUCAGAGAGCAUUUUACUACUGAGCUGCAAAGGGAAAAACUUAAAAUGGAUAUGAAAAGUGAAGAAAGUGAUCAUAGGAGAAAACCAUUUCAGAUGACAAGAGCACCUCAAAGGCAGCAGCCUCAAGGAGCAGCCAUGGCCCCAGACUUGUCGCACGGAUGCAGAAAACUUAAUGGAGGAGGCUGAGGUCAGAAUGGGAAGAGUUUUUAAAAAAUAAAAAGGGGAGCUAAUAUGUGA
rnacentral:lncRNA from 1 species